GACGAACCGUGCGAACGUUGUUCGGAAUCACUGGGCUUAAAGGGCGCGUAGGCGGGCCAGCAAGUCAGGGGUGAAAUCCCGCGGCUCAACCGCGGAAGUGCCUUUGAUACUGCGGGCCUGGAGGGAGGUAGGGGCGUGCGGAACUUCCGGUGGAGCGGUGAAAUGCGUAGAUAUCGGAAGGAACACCGGUGGCGAAAGCGGCGCGCUGGACCUCUUCUGACGCUGAGGCGCGAAAGCCAGGGGAGCGAACGGG
rnacentral:rRNA from 1 species